CUUCAACGAACCCAGCCACAAAGCCUGUUCGCGAUCCUGACCGUACGUGGCCAGCAGCGCCUGGGCCUC
rnacentral:antisense_RNA from 1 species